UACGUAGGGGGCAAGCGUUGUCCGGAAUCAUUGGGCGUAAAGAGCGUGUAGGCGGCCCGGUAAGUCCGCCGUGAAAGUCCAGGGCUCAACCCUGGAAUGCCGGUGGAAACUGCCGGGCUGGAGUCCGGAAGAGGCGAGUGGAAUUCCUGGUGUAGCGGUGAAAUGCGCAGAUAUCAGGAGGAACACCAAUGGCGAGGGCAGCUCGCUGGGACGGUACUGACGCUGAGACGCGAAAGCGUGGGGAGCAAACAGG
rnacentral:rRNA from 1 species